AUUGAACGCUGGCGGCAGGCCUAACACAUGCAAGUCGAGCGGAGCGGCGGACGGGUGAGUAAUGCCUAGGAAUCUGCCUGGUAGUGGGGGAUAACGUCCGGAAACGGGCGCUAAUACCGCAUACUAUCAGAUGAGCCUAGGUCGGAUUAGCUAGUUGGUGGGGUAAAGGCCUACCGAGGCGACGAUCCGUAACUGGUCUGAGAGGAUGAUCAGCCACACUGGAAUGGAGCCACGGUCCAGACUCCUCCGGGAGGAAUAAGUGGGGAAUAUUGUACAAUGGGCGCGAGCCUGAUGCAGCCAUGCCGCGUGUGUGAAGAAGGCCUUCGGAUUGUAAAGCACUUUCAGCGAUGAUGCGUGACUCGCAGAAGAAGUACCGGCUAACUCCGUGCCAGCAGCCGCGGUAAUAC
rnacentral:rRNA from 1 species